UGUGAGUUCAACACUGCAGGACUCAGAUCUGUCAGUCAACACAGCAGAAACCACAACCACCAUGACUCUCAUCACCAUCCUCAUCUGGACGCUGGCCUGCUGCUGUUUCACAGGAUGCAGCGGUCAGGUGACGGUGACUCAGCCUCCAGUAGUGACAUCUACUCCAGGAUCCAAUGUCACUCUCACCUGUGAGACCAACCAAGAUGUUUACAGAGACAGUGACGGAGAUGACUAUAUGCAAUGGUAUCAACAGAAAUCUGGACAGCCUCCAAAGCUUCUAAUAAGAUAUGUGAAAAAGCUUCAAUCAGGAACACCAGCUCGGUUUAGUGGCAGUGGAAGCAGCUCUGACUUCACUUUGACCAUCGGUGGAGUUCAGGCUGAAGAUGCAGCAGUUUAUUACUGUCAGAGUUACCAUGAAAUAAACAGUGCUGAUGUGUUCACACAGUGAUUUGUCGUCGUACAA